rnacentral:rRNA from 1 species
AGUGUACGCUGGCGGUAGGCCUAACACAUGCAAGUCGAACGAGCGGCGGACGGGUGAGGAAUACAUUGGAAUCUACUCUGUCGUGGGGGAUAACGUCGGGAAACUUACGCUAAUACCGCAUACGAUUGAAUGAGCCGAUGUCGGAUUAGCUAGUUGGCGGGGUAAAGGACCACCAGGGCGACGAUCCGUAGCUGGUCUGAGAGGAUGGUCAGCCACACUGAAACUGCGACACGGUCAAGACUCCUACGGGAGGCAGCAGUGGGGAAUAUUGGACAAUGGGCGCAAGCCAGAUCCAGCCAUACCGCGUGGGUGAAGAAGGCCUUCGGGUUGUAAAGCCCUUUUGUUAGGAAAGCGGUACCCAAAGAAUAAGCACCGGCUAACUUCGUGCCAGCAGCCGCGGUAAUAC